ACCAAAAUGGGAAUAAUUGGAACAGAGACCAGCAGAGGAAGAGAAAAAGAAAAUCUGGGUCUUCACUGCAAACCCAGACUGGCAAGAAGAGAUACAUGACUGAGAAAUACAUAGUUCAUGGAUUUAGUUUUUGCUCAAGUCUAGAGGUAUUCAGGGUAAGAUGUUUUUCAUAAUGCUUUCAAACUCAUUUACCUCUUUAUAAAUUCAGCAAAAAACCCCCAAAACAGUGGUAGGAUCUGCACAAGAGGUCUAGUAUGACUCUAGUUCUCUACUGGGUUAAGGGUUGCUCAAGAGCUAAAGCCAGCACUGAAUGCAUUUGCCUCUGUUUUUAAUUAAGGUACCUCCUGUUGAUGCUCCUGGGAUCCCCCAAAAGUUGUGUCCUCUCUGGAUUUGGAUCUAAGCUGCUUUGCUUGAAGCAAAGCACUGCACCUCCCUAUUAGAAAUGAAGACUGCAUGUUUCCUUCUCAACAUCACCGUAAGCUAAAGAGUGGCCAACUGGAAGUAGGUACCUGUCAACUGGCAAGAUUUCCAGACUGAAAUGUCACUACAGAGUAAUGUGAAGCACUCCCAUGUGUACUAGCUGGCAACCGUGAGAUUGUAUUUCUUCCAGACACCAACGUACACCUCGCCAUACUGCCCUCCCCCAAGUUUGUGCUUCAUGGUGAUAUCAGUCCGCUCCAUCUCCCACUUGUCA